UAACACGAACCGUACAAACGUUAUUCGGAAUUACUGGGCUUAAAGGGUUUGUAGGCGGCCUUGUCAGUCAGGUGUGAAAUCCCUCGGCUCAACCGAGGAACGGCGCUUGAUACUGCAAGGCUUGAGGGAGACAGGGGUAAGCGGAACUGAUGGUGGAGCGGUGAAAUGCGUUGAUAUCAUCAGGAACACCGGUGGCGAAAGCGGCUUACUGGGUCUCUUCUGACGCUGAGGAACGAAAGCUAGGGUAGCGAACGGGAUUAGAUACCCCGGUAGUCCUAGCUGUAAACGAUGAGCACUUGGUUGGGGAUCCUCCCAUAGGUUCUCGACCGUAGCGAAAGUGUUAAGUGCUCCGCCUGGGGAGUAUGGUCGCAAGGCUG
rnacentral:rRNA from 1 species